rnacentral:rRNA from 1 species
GAUGAACGCUGGCGGCGUGCCUAAUACAUGCAAGUCGAGCGAAUGGAUUAAGAGCUUGCUCUUAUGAAGUUAGCGGCGGAUGGGUGAGCAACACGUGGGUAACCUGCCCAUAAGACUGGGAUAACUCCGGGAAACCGGGGCUAAUACCGGAUAAUAUUUUGAACUGCAUGGUUCAAAAUUGAAAGGCGGCUUCGGCUGUCACUUAUGGAUGGACCCGCGUCGCAUUAGCUAGUUGGUGAGGUAACGGCUCACCAAGGCAACGAUGCGUAGCCGAACUGAGAGGGUGAUCGGCCACACUGGGCCUGAGACACGGCCCAGACUCCUACGGGAGGUAGCAGUAGGGAAUCUUCCGCAAUGGACGAAAGUCUGACGGAGCAACGCCGCGUGAGUGAUGAAGGCUUUCGGGUCGUAAAACUCUGUUGUUAGGGAAGAACAAGUGCUAGUUGAAUAAGCUGGCACCUUGACGGUACCUAACCAGAAAGCCACGGCUAACUACGUGCCAGCCGCCGCGGUAA